GGAAGGCGCGAGCGUUAAUCGGGAAUCACUGGGCGUAAAGCGCGCGUAGGCGGUUAGGUAAGUCAGAUGUGAAAGCCCCCGGGGGCUUAACCUGGGGAACUGCGUUUGAUACUGCCUAACUAGAGUGUGAUAGAGGGAAGUGGAAUUCCACAUGUAGCGGUGAAAUGCGUAGAGAUGUGGAGGAACACCAAUGGCGAAGGCAACUUCCUGGAUCAACACUGACGCUCAGGUGCGAAAGCGUGGGGAGCAAACAGGAUUAGAUACCCUGGUAGUCCACGCUGUAAACGAUGUCUACUAGCCGUUGGGAGGGUUUGCCUCUUAGUGGCGCAGCUAACGCGAUAAGUAGACCGCCUGGGGAGUACGGCCGCAAGGUUA
rnacentral:rRNA from 1 species